rnacentral:rRNA from 1 species
UACGAAGGGGGCUAGCGUUGCUCGGAAUCACUGGGCGUAAAGCGCACGUAGGCGGCUUUCUAAGUCAGGGGUGAAAUCCUGGAGCUCAACUCCAGAACUGCCUUUGAUACUGGAGAGCUUGAGUCCGGGAGAGGUGAGUGGAACUGCGAGUGUAGAGGUGAAAUGCGUAGAUAUCAAGAGGAACACCAGUGGCGAAGGCGAGUCCCUGGACAACUUCUGACGCUGAGGCACGAAAGCUAGGGGAGCAAACAGG